rnacentral:tRNA from 1 species
GGUAAGGUGGCCGAGCAGGCGGUGGUUUGUAGCUCCAAAGACGGAGGUGAAAGCCCUCCCCUUUCCA